UUGGGAAUAUUCAAAGUUUGA
rnacentral:piRNA from 1 species